AGUGAGCGGCAAAAGCUCAAAUUUGAAAUCUGGCGUCUUCGACGUCCGAGUUGUAAUUUGAAGAAGGCGACUUUGUAGCUGGUCCUUGUCUAUGUUCCUUGGAACAGGACGUCAUAGAGGGUGAGAAUCCCGUGUGGCGAGGAUCCCAGUUAUUUGUAAAGUGCUUUCGACGAGUCGAGUUGUUUGGGAAUGCAGCUCUAAGUGGGUGGUAAAUUCCAUCUAAAGCUAAAUAUUGGCGAGAGACCGAUAGCGAACAAGUACAGUGAUGGAAAGAUGAAAAGAACUUUGAAAAGAGAGUGAAAAAGUACGUGAAAUUGUUGAAAGGGAAGGGCAUUUGAUCAGACAUGGCGUUUGCUUCGGCUUUCGCUGGGCCAGCAUCAGUUUUAGCGGUUGGAUAAAUCCUCGGGAAUGUGGCUCUGCUUCGGUAGAGUGUUAUAGCCCGUGGGAAUACAGCCAGCUGGGACUGAGGAUUGCGACUUUUGUCAAGGAUGCUGGCGUAAUGGUUAAAUGCCGC
rnacentral:rRNA from 1 species